GAUGAACGCUGGCGGCGUGCCUAAUACAUGCAAGUCGAGCGAACGGACGAGAAGCUUGCUUCUCUGAUGUUAGCGGCGGACGGGUGAGUAACACGUGGAUAACCUACCUAUAAGACUGGGAUAACUUCGGGAAACCGGAGCUAAUACCGGAUAAUAUUUUGAACCGCAUGGUUCAAAAGUGAAAGACGGUCUUGCUGUCACUUUUAGAUGGAUCCGCGCUGCAUUAGCUAGUUGGUAAGGUAACGGCUUACCAAGGGAACGAUGCAUAGCCGACCUGAGAGGGUGAUAGGCCACACUGGAACGGAGCCACGUUCAAGACUCCUACGGGAGGCAGCAGUAGGGAAUCUUGCGCAAUGGGCGAAAGCCUGACGAGGCAACGCCGCGGGAGUGAUGAAGGUCUUCGGAUCGUAAAACUCUGUUAUGAGGGAAGAACAUAUGUGUAAGUAACUGUGCACAUCUUGACGGUACCUAAUCAGAAGGCCACGCCUAACUACGU
rnacentral:rRNA from 1 species